rnacentral:rRNA from 1 species
AACGAACGCUGGCGGCAUGCCUAACACAUGCAAGUCGAACGAGACCUUCGGGUCUAGUGGCGCACGGGUGCGUAACGCGUGGGAAUCUGCCCUUGGGUACGGAAUAACAGUUAUAAAUGACUGCUAAUACCGUAUAAUGACUUCGGUCCAAAGAUUUAUCGCCCAGGGAUGAGCCCGCGUAGGAUUAGCUUGUUGGUGAGGUAAAGGCUCACCAAGGCGACGAUCCUUAGCUGGUCUGAGAGGAUGAUCAGCCACACUGGGACUGAGACACGGCCCAGACUCCUACGGGAGGCAGCAGUGGGGAAUAUCGGACAAUGGGCGCAAGCCUGAUCCAGCAAUGCCGCGUGAGUGAUGAAGGCCUUAGGGUUGUAAAGCUCUUUUACCCGGGAAGAUAAUGACUGUACCGGGAGAAUAAGCCCCGGCUAACUCCGUGCCAGCCGCCGCCGUAA